rnacentral:lncRNA from 1 species
AAAAGCCAUGUCUUUAAUCUAUUUUUAGGAAAAGAAAAAGAAAACGACAGAUUUUUAUUAAUUACUUUUUCUCAUAAAAGCUAAUUAAAAUUUCAAUUUUUUUAUGGCCUUCUUAUUAUUUCUUUUAUUUGAAUUUGAUUUUAGUUUAAUUCUAUAUUUUAAUUUCAUAUUCAAAAGUAUGCCAAUCAUAUUCGAUAGCCCCUAUCUAAUCAUAUUCAUUUUCAAUCAUUUUUGUGUUUGAACUCAGUUUGUUCCUUUGUUUGAAUAACAUUUUUAUUUGAACAAGGGAAAGUAAAAAGCAUGAAGUAUCCCGUACUAGAAGUAUAUAAUAACAUUUGUUUGAAUAACAUUUUUAUUUACUAUAGCUAUAAGACUAGAAGUAUAUAAUAAGCUACCACACUACAAAAGAAGUUGCCCAUUUAAUGAAUCCAAACUACAUUACCAGGAAGAAAAAUCCCACCAACUCAACCUACUUGCCUGUCUAUCCUUCCCACCUUUUACUUUGCUACUCGACAGUCUUAUUUCAAGGUUCAAUCACGAACAAAGGCUGUAAAGAUGACAAAAAAGAACGUCUAAGCAACAAAAAACCAAAACAAAAAGGACAAAAACAAUCAAAUUUACUUCAAAUCCACAAUUCAAUACCCAUCCAUCCAUCCAUAUACAUUAUUUGAAAUAAGGUAGCAAAGAAUACUCACAGUACCAAUGCUGACUGCUUUGCCAUCUUCUACAAGGAUCUUGACUAUGGUUCCUGAUUGAUUAGCCUAUUGAAACAAUUAUUUUUCAUCUACAAUUAGCCACAUAAGAGAUAGUUUGACAAUUUCAAUAAACUAUGGAUGCAACAAAACAAUUGAUUAAGGGUUGUACAACAUAUUACAGUGAUACUGCAACUGCCAAGUGCAGUUACUAUGGGCGGUAAUCACUCAUUGGCCAAACAAACUAAAAUGCAGCUAUCAGGUUGGUUGUUGAGAAUGCUACAAGAGGAAGAACUAAUUUGGAAUCUAUUUAAUAUUAAGUCUCUUUAAGAUUAAAGUUUAAUCAAGGAAGCAUGACUGUUCAAUCAAAAAAUGGAAAACUAACUGGCCAUCUAAUUGAAACCUGCAGCACUGUAUCUGGAUAACCAAAAAGUACCAGUCAAGCUUGCUUAAGUUUCUGUUCGGCAUUGACCUUAGGGCCUUACACAUUCAAGAAUCCUAAAGAUCUUAAAAGCAAAUCUCUUGAGCCAACUACACGAAUCUUUUCCUUUCAUUCAGCCUCUGUUAAAGCAUACUCUUGUCCCACACUUAAAUUUCAUUUCUUUUUUUUCCAGAUACUAAAAAUCAUUUUUCAACAAAAAGCAUCUAAACCAUGCUUAUGACCAAAUUCAUUAAACCAUCCUUUCUUCCAGUUUAUAUAUGAUUGCAUCAACUUUAAAUUUUUUUUUUAAAUUCAUUCUCAUUCUAUCUUUUUUUUGGGUAUCUUUGCUUAUAUUCGUUUCAAUGUUUCCAUUUGGAUCACAAGCUAUGUGUGCACAUUUUCUCUACCUAAACACAAAAGGCACUAUUACUAUUAAUCUAAAGAAAGUAUUUAACCAAUCUGUUUCUGAAAAAAUAUUGCUAUGUACCGAAAAACAAAAGGUAAAUGAAAGAGAGAUCCAAGCAUUUAAAACUCUAGAAAUUGAAUGGACAUAAAAAGCCAAAGAAAGGAAAAGGAUCUAACCUUGGAGCACCCCUUCGCUGAAUGUAGAAGAGAACAAGGAAAACAGAAGUUAAUCAGAUAAAAAAAGAAAAUGUGCCCUUUACUGUAUUUGGAGAGAUGAAGAUGAAGGGCGAAUGGAUGUUUGACUUGAUUUGGGGAUAAAUGUUGAAGAAGAAAUCUAGAGAGAAUUUUGGGAAGAAGAGAGGCAGGCUAUUUUAGUCUAAAAAUGUGAAAAUGUUAUUACGGUUCUGGCGUUGAAUAGCAAUUCAGACCUCCAACUCGUGAAUGGCUAUUACAGUAGCUGAGGGAAUAAGGGUGCAAUAGCCAUUCAGUGGAAUCACUUAAACGGUGAAACAAACUACUGCUUUACUGUAGCGCGCGGAAUAGUGACGGAAUAGAAUAGCAAUUCCAUCCAACCAAACAUGCUGUUAUAAUAUCC